GCCGAGCUCAGUAGCGAGAGCUUGUAACCCAAGUGGGGGCAUCCAAGGUGGCGUGGAUGUUGGGUGCGGAAUUUGGUCCUGGACCCGUGGUUGUGCCUAAGCUGGCCUGCCCGUUCCAAGUUGGUAGUGGCUGGUGGGGCUUAGACGAAUGUCUUGGGCCUCCCUGGGCCUAAAGUGGCAGGAAUAGCGUGAGGCUGGCUUCACAGAGCAGCGAUCACUGGCCCGCUUCCAACGGUGGGAGGAUAACAGGCUGCUGCACCAUGAGCCCGCUUAGGCCCAAAGUCCCACUGCAACAGACCGCCAUCUUU
rnacentral:SRP_RNA from 2 species